GAUGAACGCUGGCGGCGUGCUUAACACAUGCCAGUCGAACGAAGCACUUUAUUUGAUUUCCUUCGGGACUGAUUAUUUUGUGACUGAGUGGCGGACGGGUGAGUAACGCGUGGGUAACCUGCCUUGUACAGGGGGAUAACAGUUGGAAACGGCUGCUAAUACCGCAUAAGCGCACGGCAUCGCAUGAUGCAGUGUGAAAAACUCCGGUGGUAUAAGAUGGACCCGCGUUGGAUUAGCUAGUUGGUGAGGUAACGGCCCACCAAGGCGACGAUCCAUAGCCGACUUGAGAGGGUGACGGGCCACAUUGGGACUGAGACACGGCCCAAACUCCUACGGGAGGCAGCAGUGGGGAAUAUUGCACAAUGGGCGAAAGCCUGAUGCAGCGACGCCGCGUGAGCGAAGAAGUAUUUCGGUAUGUAAAGCUCUAUCAGCAGGGAAGAUAAUGACGGCACCUGACUAAGAAGCACCGGCUAAAUACGUG
rnacentral:rRNA from 1 species